UUUUUGGGAUAUCGUGCACAUUUUCUCCUCCUCCGGCUGUUCUCCUUCACAGUCGUGAUCCCUGUGCCGCACAGGCGGUAUCCCGCUUCGUGUGCAAAAAAGCUCGUC
rnacentral:sRNA from 1 species